rnacentral:lncRNA from 1 species
GGACACAACCUGUGGAAGGCUAGGCAGGGAGUCAGGAAAGGCUGGAGUCACCAUGGUUAAAGGACUAUAGACCAGUUGUUAAUAUGAGAAAUAUAGCCAGGAGAUGACUCUAACACAACGCUAACAGGAAGGACUGCAACCUGGAACAAGGAGAGACAAAGGGAAGGAGGAGUCUGGAGCCAUAUUGAAGAUGAAAUUGAGAUAUGGACUAGGUGGUGGAUCGUUUUUAUAAGAGGACAUAAAAGAGGAUGCUAAAGCUAAUUGCCACAAUCAGAACUCAAAGACCUAGCAAAUGCAAGGUGGUAUUUAUUCUAAACUCAGCAAAGUAGUAGAAAAAUAGUUUUGAGAACAGUUUUAAGGAGACUAGGGUAACAGUGAGAAAAUAGUUCAUGGCUAGUCUGGACUUAGGACUUUAGGGUCGGCCUGGUGAAUUGAAGGGAAGCAGCUGAUACACUCUGGUUGCCUUGUACCCUGGCUUUUGGUGCUUUCCCAUGUGCUGUAGUCAUCAGUAAUCUGGAGGAAAUGCUAUAGAGGCAAAGACACCAUUAGAUGGGUGCUCAACUAGCAAACAGGAUGUGACCACAGAGUAGUUACCCCAAGACCAGGUCAGCAUGACCCAAAAGGCAGAAGAGGACAAGGUUUAUGAGUGUUGGGCUGAGCUCACGCCUGCUUGAACAUCUCAAGAACAAUGUUAAUGAUGGAAGAGAGAGAUAGGAGAGGAAACUCAUUAAACUUGCCAAAUAUGAGAUGUAGCUGGGUUGGCUCUAUGUAAGCAUGGCAGAAAAGCAUUUAGAAGUCAUAAUACAUUUAAAAUAAGAGCUACCAGCAUAGCAGUGACAUGAAGAAGGCAUGUGUUUUGUUAAAAAGUUUUAAAUACUCCUAUAAAAGAUAGUAAGGUACAAGUUGUUUGCUUGAUCAGCAAUGCUAAUUGCCUUUGAAGUGCAUGCCUGGGGAUUCCAUGGAGAGAGGACCCUGUUUCUCCACCCCAACCCAAAUUCACUGAGUUUAUGUCAGAAUGUUCAGAAGCCCCUUUACAAAUUCCUCUGAUUGCCUUGUUAGACACUGGCCACCUCCCUGAACCUGGGCCAAGAUGAGGGUCUACACCUUGGCUUAGUUCUACUAUGAAAGACUUUCCUGCAGUAAAAGUUACCUGUCUGAAACAUUCAGAAGAGUGAAAAUGCCACAUCUCCAAUUUCCAGCAAUAUAUUUGUCUGCCAUGAUUUGGCCUGGAAGCUUAAGCAGGAAGACCACUUGGAGCCAGACUUCAGAGUGAUCUGUCUCUAAGGAAUAACUUUCAUAUUGCAGCGUUCGGUUUUGCAAUUCUUCCUAAGCUACUCUAAAUUCGCAGCAUAAAUCUGCAGAAAGACUUCACCCUCCACAUCAAACCCUUAUAAGGAUCCAUUUCUGCUCUCAUUUUAGAAUAUCUUUUCUAAUAGCUAAAGGCAGACAGAGGCAAACCAAGAAAUCCAGACUUUGCAUCAACGGGUUAAAUCAUAUGUCAAAGGUGCAACCAUAACGUAUUACAAGCUUCUCAUCACAUAAUACAUCACUCAAGAAAAAAUAUUUGGGCAGCUUUUCUAAUUCAUCUUCCUGGUGUUAAAGGAGCACAUCUCCAGUGUUCGUGUCUUCUGUUUCAAUUAAAGCAAUCAUGCCUACUCUUUUAGGAAAC